GAUGAACGCUGGCGGCGUGCCUAAUACAUGCAAGUCGAGCGAACAGACGAGGAGCUUGCUCCUCUGACGUUAGCGGCGGACGGGCGAGUAACACGUGGAUAACCUACCUAUAAGACUGGGAUAACUUAGGGAAACCGGAGCUAAUACCGGAUAAUAUAUUGAACCGCAUGGUUCAAUAGUGAAAGACGGUUUUGCUGUCACUUAUAGAUGGAUCCGCGCCGCAUUAGCUAGUUGGUAAGGUAACGGCUUACCAAGGCAACGAUGCGUAGCCGACCUGAGAGGGUGAUCGGCCACACUGGAACUGAGACACGGUCCAGACUCCUACGGGAGGCAGCAGUAGGGAAUCUUCCGCAAUGGGCGAAAGCCUGACGGAGCAACGCCGCGUGAGUGAUGAAGGUCUUCGGAUCGUAAAACUCUGUUAUUAGGGAAGAACAAAUGUGUAAGUAACUAUGCACGUCUUGACGGUACCUAAUCAGAAAGCCACGGCUAACUACGUG
rnacentral:rRNA from 1 species